CUUCUUAAUAUUUAGUGUGAAUCCAAACAGCAACGCUCCUGAGUUUGUGUCCCACGUCACCUUCAGUCCGCUCAGAGCAGAGGAAUCAUUUCCAUAGAGAGGAGGCUUUGCAUCGUCAGCUGAUCCUCCACUGAACUGAGAAGCUUUAUAGUCCUGUGACUCCAACUCUGCAGGACUCAGACCCGUCAGUCGACCACAACCACCAUGACUCUCAUCACCCUCCUCAUCUGGACGCUGGCCUGCUGCAGCUUCACAGGAUGCAGCGGCCAGGUGACUGUGACUCAGCCUCCAGUCGUGACAUUUACUCCAGGAUCCACUGUCACUCUGACCUGUAACACCAACCCCAGUGCUUAUAACAAUGGUGAUAAUGAUUAUUUGUCCUGGUACCAGCAGAAACCUGGACAGGCUCCCAAGCUUCUUAUGUACUUAGCAUCAACUCUAGAAACAGGAAUUCCCUCUCGAUUCAGUGGCAGUGGCUCUGGUUCUAGCUUCACCUUAACCAUCAGUGGAGUUCAGAGUGAAGAUGCAGCAGUUUACUACUGUCAGAGCUUCCAUAUAAUCAGCAGAGCACCUGUGUUGACACAGUGAUUUACAGUCGUACAAAAACCUCCCUCAGUCAGACGCAGAGACAUGAGCUGUUACAGCAGGAAGAGAGUGGGACACAGACCAGUGAACACAGAGACUGACAGUAACCUCACCAAGCACAACAGACACAAUCACACACUUUCUGACCUAAGAUGAAGC